ensembl:lncRNA
CUGGCUUUUUAAAAACCUGCAGUGGCCUAGUGGAGUUCUCUACGGAAGAGGAUUAGGGCCACUGGAAAGAAAAAAAAAGAAUUCUGACUUUAAUCUCAGAAUUCUGACUUUUUUUCUCAGAAUUCUGACUUUAAUCUCAGAAUUCUGACUUUUUUCUCAGAAUUCUGACUUUUUUCUCAGAAUUCUGACUUUAAUCUCAGAAUUCUGACUUUAUUCUCAGAAUUCUGAGAUUAAAGUCAGAAUUCUGACUUUAAUCUCAGAAUUCUGACUUUAUUCUCAGAAUUCUGAGAUUAAAGUCAGAAUUCUGACUUUAAUCUCAGAAUUCUGACUUUUUUCUCAGAAUUCUGACUUUAAUCUCAGAAUUUUGAGGUGGGCACCUGCAGGCAUCCAUCUUCAGUGACAGGGAUGUGUCCAGGUGUGCAGGUGGAGACCUAAUUCACCAAACAUGGUGGAUAUAAGUGAUUUUUUGCGUGGCCGAGGGGUCCCCGAAGAUGCUGUUUUAUUAAUGGAAGAGCAGAAGAUUGACUGUGACGUCAUAGCACUGAUGGAUGACGCAACUUUGGCAAACUACAUUCCCUCGUACGGAGACCGAAUUGCCCUCUUCAAUUUCUGCAAAAGCAAGCAACCACUGUCAAAAAGAAAACUAGGACUUCUGCAAAAACUUCGUGAGAAAAUGAAAACCAGAAAAGAAAGUCCAAAGGAGAACACCUCACAUACAGAUGCAGGAAUAAGACAGACAAAGAAGCAAAAAGCAACACGAAAUGUUGAGAUAGGAUGGAUACAUAGUGAUGGAAAAGUAGCCAAACAGGUGAGAGCGAAGCAGGGAGGUGGCACUAGAAAAAUUCAAAUGGCCACUGAUGCUGGAUUAAAAGAUAUUCUUCAAGAAGGAAAGAAACUUUUUUUUCCUGAUGGCAUAUCUCCUAAGGGAUGUGAAACAGAUUUUGAGUUUGAGGUUUGGGACUUUAAACAGAACCACCUUACUGAUGAUACCUGCCAGUCUAUUGGCAAUAUGUAUGAGGCAGCGAGACUGACAAUGUUACGCUUCUACAUCGCAACAAAACCAAAAGAUCCUGAAGAAGAUGCCAGCGAGACAUCUGAAGUGGUGUUUGUCUCAGAAAGCAGUGGCAGUGAUAGUAAUCCAUUGCAAGUGGGGGAAGUCAGGGGUAAUUUUGAUGAAGUCAUCACUGGUUCAGAAAUUUCAGAUGAUCCAGAAAUAACUUUUGGGCCAAUUUUUGAUGCUGAAGAAGAUACAGAAGACACAUUAGUCUAUGAGGGUUUUCUUGUACCCCUCAGUCCACCUAAUUCAGAGAACGUAAUAACAAUCACCAUACGUCAUACUGACACUUUACGUGACAUGAUUACUGCUUUCUCUGAUGCAGAGAUUUUGAGAAAAACACUGAAUGUGAAGCGCAUACUUCCAGACAACACAGAAGAACCAGGCACUGGAUCAGGAAUACUAAGAGAUGUACUCACAUGCUUCUGGCAUGAAUUUAUGAGCGAUGCACCCUAGGUGCAACGGUUAAAGUGCCAUUCAUUCGCCAUGAUUUUCCUGCUGAAAAAUGGAAGGCAGUUGGGCGAAUACUCUUGAAAGGUUAUGAAGAAUGUCAGUAUUUCCAAAUAAACUUGCAAUCCCUUUUCUGGAGCAAGUGCUUUUCAAUGGUGUUUACAGUGAUCUUAAAGCACACUUUCUACAGUUUGUCAGCAGCCAAGAAUGUGAUGUUUUGAUGGAAGCAGUAAAAAAUUUCUCUGCAGUUGACUUGGAUGAUCUUGUGGAAGUUCUUGACAGCUAUGGCUGUAGAAAAAGAAUCACUGCUGAGACUCUUCCUACAAUCCUUGAUGAAAUAGCACACAAAGAACUUGUCCAAAAACCAAUGUUUGUUAUUGACUGCUGGAGGAGAUCAUCAACCCCCAUAUCUCCCUCAGUCCGGAGGCACUGACCAAGUUAUUCUCUGAACUGCAACCAACUUCAAAAAAAGUGUGCCAGCUCCUGAAAUUUGCUGUGGAUUUGACUCCACAACAAAAGAAGUGAAAAAUCAUCUCAAAAGAUUCAUCAGAGAGUUGGAUAACAUUAAACUUCAGAAAUUUAUGCGUUUCUGCACCGGAUCUGACCUUAUAGUAACAACAGUAUUUAUGUGGAAUUUCAAGAUAUGACAGAGUUUACAAGAAGACCAGUCGGACACACGUGUGGGAAUGUUCUGCAGCUAGCUAACAGCUAUGAAAACUUCCCAGAUUUCCGUUCUGAAUUUAAUGCAGUUCUUGAAAGUAAUGUCUGGUGAUGGACAUUGUUUAGACUCUCACAGCAAUGCGCUACAUUUGAACUGCUCAUUCACACUAGAGCAUAACUGUAAAGAGAUGUAGGAAUAUGUAUUUUAUGUAUUUUGAACUUAUACAGUAUACUUUUUUAAUUAGAGAGAAGUUUCCCAUCUCUGUUAGAAGUCCAGUUUUGGCUAAUAUUUCAGUUUCUUUUAUCAUUUGAGUUUACAUGAUACAGUCACAAAACAAAACAAACAGGUACACUGUUUACUACCAUAUCCAGAGCUGUCUUCACCAAAUCCAAGCUUUACAGCUGUAAUACAGAAACCUUCAGCAAAAGCAUGAAGAAAGAAUACUAAAGAUCUAUAAACUAUAAUUAAACUGCUCUUAAACUUUCUUUAAUGCACCAUGUGUGG